UACGUAGGGUGCAAGCGUUGUCCGGAAUUAUUGGGCGUAAAGAGCUCGUAGGCGGUUUGUCGCGUCUGCUGUGAAAACUGGAGGCUCAACCUCCAGCCUGCAGUGGGUACGGGCAAACUAGAGUGCGGUAGGGGAGAUUGGAAUUCCUGGUGUAGCGGUGGAAUGCGCAGAUAUCAGGAGGAACACCGAUGGCGAAGGCAGAUCUCUGGGCCGUAACUGACGCUGAGGAGCGGAAGCGUGGGGAGCGAACAGG
rnacentral:rRNA from 1 species